ensembl:snRNA U6 U6 spliceosomal RNA
UUGCUUCAGCAGCACAUAUACCAAAAUUGGAACGAUACAGAGAAUAUUAGCAUGGUCUCUGAGAAAGGAUGACACACAAAUUCAUGAAGGGUUCUGUAUUUUU